rnacentral:lncRNA from 1 species
GGGGGGGCGAAAAAGCCGUUUUUGCAACAAGCUCUUUCAAACUAAUUGUAUAUCCUGAGCUUAUCUUUAAUUUUCUUUAAUGUGUUUGAUUUACAGAUGAGCACCAUGAAAGUUAUGAGGAAGAUAAUCAUAGUUCUUACCCCUUAAUUGAAAAAGUUGACCUACCUUCUGCUAGGCUUCUCAGCUCCCCACCUUUAGUUAAAUCAACCCAGAAUUUAAGAAGCCACAUGAAUAGCAAUUUUUAUGAAGCCUCUAGUCUUAAUGAUUUCUAUCACUCUUCAUGGCACAGUCCAACUCCAAAGAGUUUAAGUCAAAGCAAUGUGUAUUCUUCCUCUGUAUCAAAUUCAAUUGGUAGUACAAAACAUGUUUCUCAACCUCACUCCAUGAAUCAUGCUUAUGAAGUUGGUCUUUCUCCAGUAAAAUGUAAGCUAAUUGUUUCGUCAGACCUAUUCCAAAGUUAUUUUUCACAAAGCUUUUAAUUCAGAUGGAUCUACAGUAGCAACAAGAAUGAUUUGACAGGUGAUAAAUCUACGGAUAACUUAUAGUGGAGUCGUUUAGGGUCAGGGUAUUUCGUUUCAGGUUACCAGUGUAAAACUUGGUGAAAAUGGUUUUUAAGGUACCUAAAACGAGCAGUCGAGAGACGAGCCGCAUCUAUCAUGAUUCUCUGUAUUUUGGCCGUCAUUUUCCAAGAUGGGCGCCCAAAGCUGAUUUUCACAUUUUCUCAUUAUUCAGGGGUUGUAAUUUACCUAUCGACAUGAUAUUUAGUAGCAAUAUGCAUGCAUGUAACUAGAACGAGGAAACACUGAGAUUUAAGUCCAGUCGGCCAUUUUUUUGCAGCGAUCGGUAGCCAUUUUGGAAAUUAGUGUCUCACAAUAAGCCUUGCGGGAAUAUAGAGUGUAGAAUUCAAAAUGUAGAAUAGUACGAAGUUAAGGCGCAUGGUCCAACUUCGGGGUGCAGACGGCAGGGUUCCUGCCAGUUGCCUUGGCCCCUUGAGGGCGCCUCGCCUGUCAACCUGGCCCUUGCUUACUUACUUACUUACGUACUUACGCGGGAAUACAACUCUGCGUAUUCCCGCCAAAUUUUAAGUGUCUAGCUGCAAAAAAACCCUGGAAAUCAAAGAGACAAAGGAGAAACUAGUCUGAGACGUCAUCUUGGAAAAUGGCGGCCAACCGGAGGAGGAACUAUGAUAAAUAUGGCUUGUUUCUCGACUAAUCUUCGUUCUAGUUACCCUAAAUAACAUUUCCACCAAGUUUCAUGCUGGUAACCUCAAUUGGAAUAUCAGUGGGGGGGGGGGGGGAGUUGACCCUAUGAGACCCCACUAUGAAGGACUUACUGAAAGACAAGGCUCUGCUUGCACCUUGUUUUGAGAAAACUGCAUAUAGAAUGUUGUGACAUCCGUAACAAUACCGAGUUACUCAACCUAAACUUAACUUAAACUUACUGAAAGAAGUAGUAUUUAUAAAACACAUAACUAUAAUUAGAAAACAGCAGAAACAGGGAUAGUAAUCAA